AGGAAAGGAUUGAAAUAUCUAAAAGUCAUUUGGCUGGAGAAAAGUGUUUUCUUGAGACUUGGAGGCAGUCAGAUCAGAAGAGCA